ensembl:lncRNA
GAACACUUGGAGAUCUCUGCAGUAAGAGUAGGAACCAGAUCUGAACUCAGGAGCCCUUCUUAGAAGCCAGAGCCUGGUUUGCCAAACAAAUAACAGCAUCUGAAAGUUCCCCAGUUGGUGCCUUUGGUGUAGAUUCAGUGCCUCUCUGUGAGUCUGUAUUGGAGGAAGUGUGGUUUUGUACAUCCAUUAAGGAGCAUUUCUUACCCAAACAGCUUAGAACCUCAAGACAUAUGAUUGAGCAAGAACCAAAAGCACUGAGCUUAGCUGGGCACAGAACCAUCUGGACAGGCAUCUAGAAGAAGCUAGAAAAGACUUUAAUCAUGUUGAGCACCACAUCUUGAAACUCUACUGGAGACAGUGAGUUUAUUUAUCUCUUUCAUGUUAUUCCUUUGCUGCAAGCUGGGAAAAUUGCUGAGUGGUGUGGCACUGG